UCAACGCUGGCGGCGUGCCUAACACAUGCAAGUCGAACGCGAGAGGGGCUUCGGCCCCAAUUGAGUGGCGAACGGGUGAGUAACGCGUGGGUGACCUACCUUCGAGUGGGGGAUAACGUCCCGAAAGGGACGCUAAUACCGCGUAACAUCCUGCCUUUGAAUAGGUGGAGAUCAAAGCUGGGGAUCGCAAGACCUGGCGCUUGAUGAGGGGCCCGCGUCUGAUUAGCUAGUUGGUGGGGUAAUGGCUCACCAAGGCGACGAUCAGUAUCCGGACCUGAGAGGGCGGACGGACACACUGGGACUGAGAUACGGCCCCGACUCCUACGGGAGGCAGCAGCUAAGAAUCUUGCGCAAUGGGCGAAAGCCUGACGCAGCAACGCCGCGUGGGGGACAAGGCCUUCGGGUCGAAACCCCUUUUGCGAGGGAGAAGUUCUGACGGUACCUCGCGAAUAAGACACGGCUAACUACGUGCCAGCAGCCGCGGUAAUCUGAUGGCGCGAGG
rnacentral:rRNA from 1 species